GUUACAAUUAACUUUCAUGAAUAGAAAACACACCGUCCCCUCCAAUGAAUCGCCACCUUAACGUGGUGGAGGGGUUUGUGUGCCCUAGUGAUCCUGGGAGCUGUGUUGUCGGGGGCGUUAGCUCCUGGUAGGGUCUUCCAAGGCAAAGUGGUCCCAGGGGAGGGGCCAGACCAAGAGCGAUUCAAAGACCUUUAUGAACUGGAGCCAACGGACUUGUGGAACCUUGCCCAGAAUAGGGAGACCGGAGCCCCCCUCCUGGAGCCGGACCUGGAAGGGGAGCUCGCUGGCGAACAUCUGGUGGCCCUGGCUUGGCCCAUUGGGCUUGGCCAGGCACGGCCCGAAGAAACUUCAUGGAGCCUCCACCCUGUGGGCCCACCCCCUGCAGGGAUAGGCAUAGGGGUCAAGUGCAAUGUGAGCCGUGCGGCAGGCAAAGGCGGGGAUCUAGGCGUUCUGAUCCCCGGUGGAACGUUACCUCUCUGGUGGGGAUUGAACUGGAGCUGGUGCGGGAGGUGGAGCGGUAUCAACUAGAUAUAGUUGGGCUCACCUCCACGUAUAGCUCUAGUUCUGGAACCACACUCCUGGAGAGGGGCUGGACUCUCUCCUUUUCCGGAGUUGCCCAGGGUGAGAGGCGCCGCAGUGUUGGAGUUCUCCCCGGAGAACGAGAGGGUUGCCUCGAUGCGACUGCAAGUCGCUGGGAGGGAAUCUCUGACUGUUGUUUGUGCGUGUGCAUGUCUGUAUGCACCGCUGCUCUUUCGCGUCUAAAGGGGCCAGCUGACAUUGUGAAUAAAGGGAGUGAAAGUGUUCUUUCACAAUCAUUGUGUGACAUUCUUAGUUAUCAGGGCUGAUCCUGUCCUCACGGAGCCUCUAACCCUUUGAGGACCGGUCCGUACCAAGAUGAAGCCUGAGAGUGUGUAAGCCUGAGUGACAGAGACCCUCACGGGGGACAGAGCUGGUGUUGGAAGUGAAUCCUGAGCCGGAAACAAACUUCACCCUCCUUCAGACUGACGGACAAGCGUGGCGUCAGACCCCCAGAGACCCUCACGUCUCUGUCUGCUCAUAAUAUUUCCAGCACUGCCACCAUCCAGCUCCAGUCUGUGAUGUAACUGGAUGGCUCGAGGGGGCAGCAACCUGACACAACGAGGCCAGACGAAGCCCUCAGAGGAUGGACCGAGGGAGGGGAAAAAAAGCUCCCAGGGAACGUCACAACGCGUGACUAAAGAAACUGUGAAAGCUAAGGUCAGUGGAUGAAGUCUUUCCUCGAGUAAAAUCACACUAUGCACAUACUUCUUUUAGACUGAAUUAUCUUCUCAUUUCAAACAAUUUAAAGAUCCUGAAAUAGGAUAAGUAGAUGCAAUUAGGCGAGUAAAAAUGAGGGGGGGUAAAACACAAGA